ACGGAAGGCAGCAGUGGGGGAUAUUGCACAAUGGGCGCAAGCCUGAUGCAGCGAUGCCGCGAGAGUGAAGAAGGUUUUCGGAUUGUAAACCUCUGUCAACAGGGACGAAAAUGACGGUACCUGUGAAGGAAGCUCCGGCUCACUACGUGCCAGCAGCCGCGGUAAUACGUAGGGAGCAAGCGUUAUCCGGAAUUACUGGGUGUAAAGGGAGUGUAGGCGGGACUGUAAGUCAGAUGUGAAAUAUACCGGCUCAACUGGUAGACUGCAUUUGAAACUGCGGUUCUUGAGUGAAGUAGAGGUAAGCGGAAUUCCUAGUGUAGCGGUGAAAUGCGUAGAUAUUAGGAGGAACAUCAGUGGCGAAGGCGGCUUACUUGGCUUUAACUGACGCUGAGGCUCGAAAGCGUGGGGAGCAAACAGGAUUAGAUACCCUGGUA
rnacentral:rRNA from 1 species